rnacentral:rRNA from 1 species
ACAUGCCUACAACAUAACGUUAAUGCAUCAGAUCUCAUUAGAACUCCACAAUUAAGCAUGCUCGUGAUAGAGUAGUACUAGGAUGGGUGACCUCUUGAGAAGUACUAGUAUUUUACAUGCC